rnacentral:rRNA from 1 species
AGUGAACGCUGGCGGUAGGCCUAACACAUGCCAGUCGAACGGCAGCACCGUAAGAGCUUGCUCUUACGGGUGGCGAGUGGCGGACGGGUGAGGAAUACAUCGGAAUCUACUUUUUCGUGGGGGAUAACGUAGGGAAACUUACGCUAAUACCGCAUACGACCUACGGGUGAAAGCAGGGGAUCUUCGGACCUUGCGCGAUUGAAUGAGCCGAUGUCGGAUUAGCUAGUUGGCGGGGUAAAGGCCCACCAAGGCGACGAUCCGUAGCUGGUCUGAGAGGAUGAUCAGCCACACUGGAACUGAGACACGGUCCAGACUCCUACGGGAGGCAGCAGUCGGGAAUAUUGGACAAUGGGCGCAAGCCUGAUCCAGCCAGACCGCGUGGGUGAAGAAGGCCUUCGGGUUGUAAAGCCCUCUUGUUGGGAAAGAAAAGCAGCAGGUUAAUACCCCGCGGUUCUGACGGUACCCAAAGAAUAAGCACCGGCUAACUUCGUG